AACACUUUGUUCUCUAUGUUGCUGAUUCGCAGCAUCUGAAUGAAACUUUGUCUGGAGCAGAUCCGUGAAACUAAUAUUAAGCUUUCAUGUGAAGUACGUACUCGGUGUAGUGGCCGACGACAUUAUUUCAAUGCAUAACAUAAAACAGUCUUACGUAUAUAUUGUACAUGUUAUGUAAAAUAUUUUGAAAUUUCGUUAACGCUAUAAUGAAGCACGAUCGUCGUGACGAUGUUGGACACGCCACGGAUUGCAUAAAAAACACAUUUCAGAAAUAUCGGAUAAUCUUGGACCAAGUCGAAAUCGUACAACUCAAAAUCCUUGAAACUCAAAGUACCCUUGAGUGUCACGAACGGAUUUUGGAUUAUCCAAGAAACGGCGAAUUGCGACAUGCACAAUACGAAGGCCAUUGAACCAGUUAAGAACUAGUUAAAACCUAAAGACUUUGUAAUCAUCGACCCUGACAUCAUGAACUUGCAACAGACCAACCACCUAAAAGUUGUGGAACUAUGGCUACCUCGAUUGACAUUAUGGAUUACAGAUUAAUCAAAAAUCCAUGAUUCUGAUUCAUAAUUUUGAAGACAAGAUCGAUUACAACACAGCCCAAAGCGAAGGGACAUCGAAGCGUUCGACUCUAAUAAUAAAAAGUUGAGAUUUAUCAGGGAAAUUAUUUUAGAAUUGUGGAGGAACCUUCAGGGGGUCAUUGUUUCAAGGUUUCUGAAUUGUCAACGUCUGUG
rnacentral:misc_RNA from 1 species